rnacentral:rRNA from 1 species
UACGGAGGGGGCGAGCGUUAUUCGGAAUUAUUGGGCGUAAAGGGCGCGUAGGCGGCUUGGCAAGUCAAAGGUGAAAUCCCUCGGCUCAACUGAGGAACUGCCUUUGAAACUGCCUGGCUUGAGGCCGGGAGGGGGUAGCGGAAUUCCCAGUGUAGCGGUGAAAUGCGUAGAUAUUGGGAGGAACACCAGUGGCGAAGGCGGCUACCUGGACCGGAACUGACGCUGAUGCGCGAAAGCGUGGGUAGCAAACAGG